GUCCUGAUAGUUUAUUAAAAUAGCAGCAUGUGGGGCUGGAGAAGAGUUAAUCUUAGGACA
rnacentral:tRNA from 1 species